rnacentral:rRNA from 1 species
CAAGACCUUGCGCUGAUUGAGCGGCCGAUAUCAGAUUAGCUAGUUGGUGAGGUAAAGGCUCACCAAGGCGACGAUCUGUAGCGGGUCUGAGAGGAUGAUCCGCCACACUGGAACUGAGACACGGUCCAGACUCCUACGGGAGGCAGCAGUGGGGAAUUUUGGACAAUGGGGGCAACCCUGAUCCAGCCAUGCCGCGUGAGUGAAGAAGGCCUUCGGGUUGUAAAGCUCUUUCAGCCGGGAAGAAAACGCGUGGGUUAAUACCCUGUGUGGAUGACGGUACCGGAAUAAGAAGCACCGGCUAACUACGUUGCCAGCAGCCGCGGUAAUACGUAGGGUGCGAGCGUUAAUCGGAAUUACUGGGCGUAAAGCGUGCGCAGGCGGUUUUGUAAGACAGGCGUGAAAUCCCCGGGCUCAACCUGGGAACU